rfam:Anaerolineae bacterium CG1_02_58_13 cg1_0.2_scaffold_2383_c, whole genome shotgun sequence.
ACUGAAUCAUCUCUCCGAAGCCUGCCUGCCUAAACUUCACAGCAUGGCAAGCAGGCCGAUCACACAAUCGUGAUCCAGGAUUCGACGGAAACGUUGUGUCCCCCCAUGUUUGGAAAGGAGACUCAACCCAUGCUUU